rnacentral:rRNA from 1 species
ACGAACGCUGGCGGCGUGCUUAACACAUGCAAGUCGAACGGAAAGGCCCUGCUUUUGUGGGGUGCUCGAGUGGCGAACGGGUGAGUAACACGUGAGUAACCUGCCCUUGACUUUGGGAUAACUCAGGAAACUGGGGCUAAUACCGGAUAGGAGCUCCUGCUGCAUGGUGGGGGUUGGAAAGUUUCGGCGGUUGGGGAUGGACUCGCGGCUUAUCAGCUUGUUGGUGGGGUAGUGGCUUACCAAGGCUUUGACGGGUAGCCGGCCUGAGAGGGUGACCGGCCACAUUGGGACUGAGAUACGGCCCAGACUCCUACGGGAGGCAGCAGUGGGGAAUAUUGCACAAUGGGCGGAAGCCUGAUGCAGCAACGCCGCGUGCGGGAUGACGGCCUUCGGGUUGUAAACCGCUUUCGCCUGUGACGAAGCGUGAGUGACGGUAAUGGGUAAAGAAGCACCGGCUAACUACGUG